rnacentral:lncRNA from 1 species
UUUAUUAGCAGAGGGUUAAUAUCACUUUGUGGAGGGAGUGAGGAGGAAGUGGUUGAGUACUAAUAUAGAUGCUUAUACCCACAAAUGUCAGUUUACUCCAAAAUUAGAAAUUAGCUGAUGAAUGAAACCUCCUGUUGUCAGGAUAUGUGGCUCAUUUUUUAUAAAAUGGGAUUGAUUUUUCACAACACCUUCUGAAACCCACACCCUUGUCUAACAGGCAAAUUUUGAUCACAACAGGCAAGACAGUAAGGGAUGUCCUCUUCUAUACGUAGGAAGAAAUUCUUGGAGGAACAGAAUCCUUUCUCCUGUGAGGGUGUCUGAGAGUCAGUAUAACUACACAUGCUUUGCCUCUCUCCUUUCAAGAGUGGUGGGCUGAACCUAGUAUUGUUCUAAGCACUGCCAUGACAGUGCUGUCAGGGUACUCUCUUCUCUAUCCCUUGCCCCCAGGACUCACAGCCCA